ACCUGCCAUCGUCUUUCCAUGAAGAGGGUUCCCUAUUUCUCCAGAGUCUGCAACCGCACACGUUCUACCAACAGCAUACCAGAAGGUAGAUCUUGACUCAGAGGUACUUGACCUGCCAUCGUCUUUCCACGAAGAGGGUUCCCCUAUUUCUCCAGAGUCUGCAACCGCACACGUUCUACCAACAGCAUACCAGAAGGUAGAUCUUGACUCAGAGGUACUUGACCUGCCAUCGUCUUUCCACGAAGAGGGUUCCCCUAUCUCCAGAGUCUGCAACCGCACACGUUCUACCAACAGCAUACCAGAAGGUAGACCUUGACUCAGAGGUACUUAACCUCCCAUCGUCUUUCCACGAAGAGGGUUCCCCUAUUUCUCCAGAGUCUGCAACCGCACACGUUCUACCAACAGCAUACCAGAAGGUAGACCUUGACUCAGAGGUACUUGACCUGCCAUUAUCGUUGAGGAAGAGGGUUCCCCUAUUUCUCAAGAGUCUACCAACAGCGGACCAGAAGGUGGAUCUUGAGUCGUCUUUCUAUAAAUAGGGUUCCCCACUGUCCCCCUGAGUAAGCCACAGCUCUUGUGAUCCUCACGGGUUAUGAAUAGCUAUAUAGCUAUUACGAAAGCUGGACUGUCUAGUCACACAAAUAUCUUUAGUGUCAAAGGUCAGAAGGAAUAGUUUUAUUAAAAAAAAAAGAUACACAUAAGACCACUCAAAACGAUUUUUUUCCGGCUACUUGCAUUUAUAAUCUCAAAAUGUGUUGACAAUGCAAAUAAAUUAUAGAAAUUGA